ACACCGAUAGGCGACUGCGGAUCGUGGAAGCCGGUGUGAAUCCGGCGCGGUCCCGCCACUGUGAUCGCUCGGUCAGCGCGCUGACCGGCGAGAGCCAGACACACCCCGCAGUCGCCACCUCGCA
rnacentral:ncRNA from 2 species